GACAAGAGAUGACACAGAAUUGUGCCAAGGGGCAGGACAGAAGGAGGAGUCAGCCCCCGGAGCAGGAUUCUGGUUAUUCAAAGCAAGUCACAGAUCCUGCCUAUAUUUACAGGGAAAUAACUACAAAAGGGCAUGAAGACCAAGAGGCAGGAAUCAUCUAGCCACCCUAGAGUGGCUCUCAUGGUGGCACAAUUAAGCAAGAGGAGUAGAUUGUGUGGGGGUGGUCUGCACUUCCACCUGUAUGCUGUGUGAAAGAGAUUCUACAUGGAUGGUCUUAGAGCUUGCUCUGAAAAGAAAUCAGGAGGGAGCAAGGAGACCUUGAAGAGAAUGAGGCUGGAGAUUUUCUGAUGGACAUCCAGGGACAGGACAUAGGAUAAUCGUCAGCUGCCAGCUAAGUCCAUGAGGAUACUGAGAGGAAGCCCAGCCAAGGAAUCCCAGUGAUGGAACCACAGAUGCAUUCAACAUCCACCAGCCUGCAUAGCACUGACAUCGAGUUGGGAAACGGCCAAUCGAGAGAGACUUUUUCUGUUCCUCUCUCCUCAUUCCUGCCCCUGACUCUGUGAGGAUCAGGAAUCCCUCUUAGCAAUCCUCAGGGUGAAGAGUUAGAGAAGAAAUAGCACUGACCCCCACUUUACAUGUCAGCUGCCCUGCCUAAAGCAGGCCAAACUGAGGAAAAGAAGAAAUUUUAAUAUGAAUGACAGUUGGAUUUUGAUUUUUGCAUAAAUCUAUAUUUUAAUUACUAAAGUGACUGAGGAACUCUUCUAUUAGCUGACAGUAGUAACAUCUUAGAUUUCAAACAAGC
rnacentral:lncRNA from 10 species